GGGUUGUGAGGUUAAGCGACUAAGCGUACACGGUGGAUGCCCUGGCAGUCAGAGGCGAUGAAGGACGUGCUAAUCUGCGAAAAGCGUCGGUAAGGUGAUAUGAACCGUUAUAGCCGGCGAUGUCCGAAUGGGGAAACCCAGUGCAAUUCGUUGCACUAUCGUUUGAUGAAUACAUAGUCAAACGAGGCGAACCGGGGGAACUGAAACAUCUAAGUACCCCGAGGAAAAGAAAUCAACCGAGAUUCCCCCAGUAGCGGCGAGCGAACGGGGAGCAGCCCGGAGUCUGAAUCAGCUUGUGUGUUAGUGGAAGCGUCUGGAAAGUCGCAGGGUACAGGGUGAUACUCCCGUACACUAAAGCACACAGGUUGUGAACUCGAAGAGUAGGGCGGGACACGUGGUAUCCUGUCUGAAUAUGGGGGGACCAUCCUCCAAGGCUAAAUACUCCUGACUGACCGAUAGUGAACCAGUACCGUGAGGGAAAGGCGAAAAGAACCCCGGCGAGGGGAGUGAAAAAGAACCUGAAACCGUGUACGUACAAGCAGUAGGAGCCUCUUUAUGGGGUGACUGCGUACCUUUUGUAUAAUGGGUCAGCGACUUAUAUUCUGUAGCAAGGUUAACCGUAUAGGGGAGCCGCAGGGAAACCGAGUCUUAACUGGGCGUUAAGUUGCAGGGUAUAGACCCGAAACCCGGUGAUCUAGCCAUGGGCAGGUUGAAGGUUGGGUAACACUAACUGGAGGACCGAACCGACUAAUGUUGAAAAAUUAGCGGAUGACUUGUGGCUGGGGGUGAAAGGCCAAUCAAACCGGGAGAUAGCUGGUUCUCCCCGAAAGCUAUUUAGGUAGCGCCUCGUGAACUCAUCUUCGGGGGUAGAGCACUGUUUCGGCUAGGGGGUCAUCCCGACUUACCAACCCGAUGCAAACUACGAAUACCGAAGAAUGUUAUCACGGGAGACACACGGCGGGUGCUAACGUCCGUCGUGAAGAGGGAAACAACCCAGACCGCCAGCUAAGGUCCCAAAGUCAUGGUUAAGUGGGAAACGAUGUGGGAAGGCCCAGACAGCCAGGAUGUUGGCUUAGAAGCAGCCAUCAUUUAAAGAAAGCGUAAUAGCUCACUGGUCGAGUCGGCCUGCGCGGAAGAUGUAACGGGGCUAAACCAUGCACCGAAGCUGCGGCAGCGACACUAUGUGUUGUUGGGUAGGGGAGCGUUCUGUAAGCCGUUGAAGGUGGCCUGUGAGGGUUGCUGGAGGUAUCAGAAGUGCGAAUGCUGACAUAAGUAACGAUAAUGCGGGUGAAAAACCCGCACGCCGGAAGACCAAGGGUUCCUGUCCAACGUUAAUCGGGGCAGGGUGAGUCGACCCCUAAGGCGAGGCCGAAAGGCGUAGUCGAUGGGAAACAGGUUAAUAUUCCUGUACUCGGUGUUACUGCGAAGGGGGGACGGAGAAGGCUAUGUUGGCCGGGCGACGGUUGUCCCGGUUUAAGCAUGUAGGCGGAUGUUCCAGGUAAAUCCGGAACGUUAUCAACGCUGAGGUGUGAUGACGAGGCACUACGGUGCUGAAGUGACAAAUGCCCUGCUUCCAGGAAAAGCCUCUAAGCAUCAGGUAACAUCAAAUCGUACCCCAAACCGACACAGGUGGUCAGGUAGAGAAUACCAAGGCGCUUGAGAGAACUCGGGUGAAGGAACUAGGCAAAAUGGUGCCGUAACUUCGGGAGAAGGCACGCUGAUAUGUAGGUGAAGUGGUUUACCCAUGGAGCUGAAAUCAGUCGAAGAUACCAGCUGGCUGCAACUGUUUAUUAAAAACACAGCACUGUGCAAACACGAAAGUGGACGUAUACGGUGUGACGCCUGCCCGGUGCCGGAAGGUUAAUUGAUGGGGUUAUCCGUAAGGAGAAGCUCUUGAUCGAAGCCCCGGUAAACGGCGGCCGUAACUAUAACGGUCCUAAGGUAGCGAAAUUCCUUGUCGGGUAAGUUCCGACCUGCACGAAUGGCGUAAUGAUGGCCAGGCUGUCUCCACCCGAGACUCAGUGAAAUUGAACUCGCUGUGAAGAUGCAGUGUACCCGCGGCAAGACGGAAAGACCCCGUGAACCUUUACUAUAGCUUGACACUGAACACUGGUCCUUGAUGUGUAGGAUAGGUGGGAGGCUUUGAAGUGUGGACGCCAGUCUGCAUGGAGCCAUCCUUGAAAUACCACCCUUUAAUGGCUGGUGUUCUAACGUGGGCCCCUAAUCGGGGUUGCGGACAGUGUCUGGUGGGUAGUUUGACUGGGGCGGUCUCCUCCUAAAGAGUAACGGAGGAGCACGAAGGUCAGCUAAUCCUGGUCGGACAUCAGGAGGUUAGUGCAAUGGCAUAAGCUGGCUUGACUGCGAGCGUGACGGCGCGAGCAGGUGCGAAAGCAGGUCAUAGUGAUCCGGUGGUUCUGAAUGGAAGGGCCAUCGCUCAACGGAUAAAAGGUACUCCGGGGAUAACAGGCUGAUACCGCCCAAGAGUUCAUAUCGACGGCGGUGUUUGGCACCUCGAUGUCGGCUCAUCACAUCCUGGGGCUGAAGUAGGUCCCAAGGGUAUGGCUGUUCGCCAUUUAAAGUGGUACGCGAGCUGGGUUUAGAACGUCGUGAGACAGUUCGGUCCCUAUCUGCCGUGGGCGCUGGAGAAUUGAGGGGGGCUGCUCCUAGUACGAGAGGACCGGAGUGGACGCAUCACUGGUGUUCGGGUUGUCAUGCCAAUGGCAUUGCCCGGUAGCUAAAUGCGGAAGAGAUAAGUGCUGAAAGCAUCUAAGCACGAAACUUGCCCCGAGAUGAGUUCUCCCUGACCCUUUAAGGGUCCUGAAGGAACGUUGAAGACGACGACGUUGAUAGGCCGGGUGUGUAAGCGCAGCGAUGCGUUGAGCUAACCGGUACUAAUGAACCGUGAGGCUUAACCUUACAACGCCGAAG
rnacentral:rRNA from 1 species